rnacentral:rRNA from 1 species
CCUACGGGUGGCAGCAGUGGGGAAUAUUGGACAAUGGGCGAAAGCCUGAUCCAGCCAUGCCGCGUGUGUGAAGAAGGCCUUCGGGUUGUAAAGCACUUUCAGUGUGGAAGAAAGCCUUGGGGCUAAUACCCUCGAGGAAGGACAUCACCCACAGAAGAAGCACCGGCUAACUCCGUGCCAGCAGCCGCGGUAAUACGGAGGGUGCGAGCGUUAAUCGGAAUUACUGGGCGUAAAGCGCGCGUAGGCGGUCUGAUAAGCCGGUUGUGAAAGCCCCGGGCUCAACCUGGGAACGGCAUCCGGAACUGUCAGGCUAGAGUGCAGGAGAGGAAGGUAGAAUUCCCGGUGUAGCAGUGAAAUGCGUAGAGAUCGGGAGGAAUACCAGUGGCGAAGGCGGCCUUCUGGACUGACACUGACGCUGAGGUGCGAAAGCGUGGGUAGCAAACAGGAUUAGAUACCCUGGUAGUC